rnacentral:rRNA from 1 species
UACGGAGGAUGCAAGCGUUAUCCGGAUUUAUUGGGUUUAAAGGGUGCGCAGGUUGUUUGAUAAGUCAGUGGUGAAAGUCUGUCGCUUAACGGUAGGAUUGCCAUUGAUACUGUUAGACUUGAAUAUGGAUGAGGUAGGCGGAAUGUGUAGUGUAGCGGUGAAAUGCAUAGAUAUUAUACAGAACACCGAUUGCGAAGGCAGCUUACUAAUCCAUCAUUGACGCUGAGGCACGAAAGCGUGGGGAUCAAACAGGA